AUUGAACGCUGGCGGCAGGCUUAACACAUGCAAGUCGAGCGAGCGGCGGACGGGUGAGUAAUGUCUGGGGAACUGCCUGAUGGAGGGGGAUAACUACUGGAAACGGUAGCUAAUACCGCAUACCAUCGGAUGUGCCCAGAUGGGAUUAGCUAGUAGGUGGGGUAACGGCUCACCUAGGCGACGAUCCCUAGCUGGUCUGAGAGGAUGACCAGCCACACUGGAACUGAGACACGGUCCAGACUCCUACGUGAGGCAGCAGUGGUGAAUAUUGCACAAUGGGCGCAAGCCUGAUGCAGCCAUGCCGCGUGUAUGAAGAAGGCCUUCGGGUUGUAAAGUACUUUCAGCGGGGAGGUGUUACUCGCAGAAGAAGCACCGGCUAACUCCGUGCCAGCAGCCGCGGUAAUUC
rnacentral:rRNA from 1 species